UACAUUUCAACAUGCAGCACUUACUUCUUUAGGACCUUUACUUUUUCCACUGUUUUCUCAGUAGACUAUUUCACUUCCUUUGACUCGGGCCUAACGAUAACACUGGAUUUGAAGCACGGAUCUCGGCGUUGAGCACACUGACGGGACCCAGAGGGACAGGAAGAAAGGAAAAUACCAGCUCUUGUUCAUGAUGGAGAUAAUCGCAGCUUUCACGCAGCCACCCAGGAGAGGUGAGCCCUGUUUGCUCCAGUGACUAAUUCCAGCUGAGCAGAGCACAUCUCGUCUCCGUUGGCAUUUCCCUUUGAAGGACCUUACCACCCAAAACCUGAUCUUACAAAUGUCAGGGGUAGAAACACACUUGAAGAAAAAGAGGCUUAAAAUGGUCAUGGGUUCGUUUACAGCCAAGAAUGGCAGUUAUAAAGGAAGAAGCAAAUAUUGAAACACAAGAUAAAAUCUUGAGACUUUUCAAAACUGAACACCACAGUCCUCCCAGAGCAAGAGCAGCUCUAAUUCUGGAGCUCAGACCGCAAAUCUCCACUAAGAAGGUAGAGAAAAAAUACAGCAAAAUAGUGU